UGCUCUGACAACCAGGUGUCGUCCACGGG
rnacentral:piRNA from 1 species